rnacentral:tRNA from 1 species
GUCAGGAUGGCCGAGUGGUCUAAGGCGCCAGACUCAAGGUUCUCUCCUUCCCUGCGGGCGUUCUGGUCUCCGCAUGGAGGCGUGGGUUCGAAUCCCACUUCUGACA